CGUCAUUACAACCCUCAAGCUCUGCUUGGUAUUGGGCCCCACCCCCGCACGGGGGUCGGCCUCAAAGUCAUUGGCGGUGCCCAUUGGUCUCCGAGCGCAGUAAUAAUAAUCUCGCUUUCCGAGCCGGUGCGGCCCCACGCCAGAACCCAAACUCAUAUAAGGUUGACCUCGGAUCAGGUAGGGAUACCCGCUGAACUUAA
rnacentral:misc_RNA from 1 species